rnacentral:rRNA from 1 species
UACGUAGGGGUCUAGCGUUGUCCGGAAUUAUUGGGCGUAAAGAGCUCGUAGGCGGUUCGGCAAGUCGGAUGUGAAAUCUCCACGCUUAACGUGGAGGGGCCAUUCGAAACUGCCGUGACUCGAGUCCGGUAGGGGAGUGCGGAAUUCCCGGUGUAGCGGUGAAAUGCGUAGAGAUCGGGAGGAACAUCUGUGGCGAAAGCGGCUUCCUGGACCAGCACCGACGUUCAGGCACGAAAGCGUGGGGAGCAAACAGG